ACAAAGGGGUGCGUUUAUGUUGCACAUCUACAGUACAGUAGAUGCAUAAACAGCUGAGAACAGACCCUCAAAACUUGAUCGGGAUAAUGCCCGCGUAAGGAAGGAAUA
rnacentral:ncRNA from 1 species